AGAUCACGAAAAGGCCCGAAAAAGUACAUUUAGUUCA
rnacentral:sRNA from 1 species